CCUACGGGUGGCAGCAGUAGGGAAUAUUGCUCAAUGGGGGAAACCCUGAAGCAGCAACGCCGCGUGGAGGAUGAAGGUUUUCGGAUUGUAAACUCCUUUUGUUAGAGAAGAUAAUGACGGUAUCUAACGAAUAAGCACCGGCUAACGCCGUGCCAGCAGCCGCGGUAAUACGGAGGGUGCAAGCGUUACUCGGAAUCACUGGGCGUAAAGAGCGCGUAGGCGGGUUAGCAAGUCAGAUGUGAAAUCCUAUGGCUUAACCAUAGAACUGCAUUUGAAACUGUUAUUCUAGAGUAUGGGAGAGGUAGGUGGAAUGCAUGGUGUAGGGGUAAAAUGCGUAGAGAUCAAGAAGAAUACUCAUUGCGAAGGCGGCCUGCUAGAACAUAACUGACGCUGAUGCGCGAAAGCGUGGGGAGCAAACAGGAUUAGAUACCCUUGUAGUC
rnacentral:rRNA from 1 species